UCACCCUCCAUUCCUCAUCGCAUCUGCCCCGCCUACGCAUCUCUCUCUCUCUCUCUCUCUCUCUCUCUCUCUCCCCUCCAUUUCUGUCAGACCGAUUCAUAUUUGCUUCUCACCUUCGACCAUGAUCUUCAGAUCGACGUAGAUCGUUCGACGAUCUACGAUUCGACAUCAGAUUCGUUUUUUCCUGAGCGGUAUGGCGUUCAAAACUCGUCUUCUCGUCUUCCAUGGCGUCAGAUCUCGCGAAUCUUCUACAGACGUGGCAGAUCUGCAGCGAUACUUGUUGCGAUUCGCUGAACCACCGCUUUAAGGCUUAUUUCCGUACAAAUUGAUUUGGAAAUUCUGGAGAUCCAUAACAUAUGUUGACUGUCUGGAUCGGCUCUGUGCGUUGCGUUGCCUCAUGCGAGUUCAAGAGGUUGAAGAAGCCCCUGGAUUAAUUUCCGAAGUUCUAUGUAAGGGCUAGUUGGGAUUUGUGGUAUGAAGUGGUAGAUAAUUGAGAGGUUUUUACUGUUAUAACCGUUGUUUAUGAGGUAAUUGAGAAGGUAGUAUGCGUGUGAGAGAGUGGGAGAGGGAGAGAGAUUGAGAGGGGUGGAAUUAUUUACAUGUGUUGAGAGUUAAGAUUGUUGUCAAUCGGCCUUUGCCAUGUCUGGUGCGCUUGCAUGGCAGGUCAAAGAAACGCCUAAUAAAGAGUUUUUUGUUGUUGUUGGAGGGGAGAUGGCACGGGGUUUUUUGCCCGGCUCUCCCUUCUUGUGUUGCGUUUUGCGUCUUGCGUUUUUUUUUUUCUUUUCCUGUUUACCUUUUCCUUGGAAAGUAGUUCACAGCGUCUUCAUAAUCCCACUUUUACACGAUUCGGGCCGAAUCUGACAUCCAUUUGCCAACCUUCACACCAAGUCAGUGCACAGGAGGAUGGGAUUAGCACCAUUAACACUCUAGGAGGUAAUACCUUAGUUUUCACACUUGGUAUGCGGAAUGGUACUUCAUGUAAGGAGCAAAUUUUCAUCAUAACAUGUGCACUCAUCUUCUCAUCAACUUGUAUUUAAUUAAAACUAAAAUUAAAUAUAUGCUUCAAACCUUCUAAAUGCAAUUGAUGGAUUUUGGCAUCCCUGAAUGUGAAUUAUUGUUAUCAUUUCUUCCAUGUGAUUUUGUAUAUUAGUUUUAUUGUAAUAAUUUGUGUAGUUUAAAGGGCAUUCUGCAAAUUUGCGUAUGAGGGUGUUAUUUAGGAGGUUCAGUUGUAGAAUAUGGCAGUCCUGACAACUGUAUAGCUCCUUUGUGUCUGCAUUAUCUGUAUUGGGGUUUGGUAGUUUGCCAAUUGUUGUUUAGGCUGUGACUCUUGGUGCACCGUAGUCAGUGACAUGCAGCGUUGUGAAGAGCACUGGUUGCAAGCGGAGUUGGUGUGGCUGUCUUUCCUUCCCAUGAACAUUUUAGUACAAUGUACAAUAUGGUGCUGUUUGCAAGAUUAAGCGAGAAGGUGGUAUUCAGAAGGUGGUGUUCGCUGAGCAUCAAGAGGGAUAAGGUCGGUCACACAAUGUUUUUCAUAUUCUAGGUUUCACGAGGCCUUUGCCAUGUCAGGUGCGCUUGCAUGGCGGGUCGAAAAGUCCUCAAUAAAAAUUCUCGUUUUUGUUUGAAGGGAGAUGGUACGGGUUCCGGCCGGCUCUCCCUUUUGUCUUGCGUCUUUCUGCUUCUAUUGUCAUUCUCUGCAUACGGAUUGGUUCAUUUGACCUCAAGUCUCCAACUCAAGUGGAAUAGGACAUCCAUUUCCUAUUAAUACAUUAUUGAAGAAAUAAGGAUGGUAAUAGCAUAUUAGCAAUUUAGCAUCAUGAUGUUGCAGUCCAAGAGGUACAAACAAAGUCCCAUUUAACAUAGUGUUGCCAUGAGUUUUCACUUUGCUGGACUAAACAUUGUGAUUGUGCAUUGAAUAAGCAACUAAUCAUAGCAUAUCAUCUUAUAGAAGCAUAGAAGCAUUAGCGUCUUUUUAAAGGGCACUCUUUUCUGUGGGGAUAACUUGAAACUAUUUUGCGAACCUUGAUAGCAAAAUUGUAAUUACAAGAGGCAUUUUGUUUCCAAUACAACGCCUACCAGUGAUGAAUCAAAAAAUAUUGGCCGCAUCAUGGCACCAUGCUACCCAACCCUUAACAACUCAAGUGCAGAUCUAUGAGCCACUAUUUUGGUCAAACCCAUCCUUGUUACUACAUAAGAUUGUAAUUACUUAAAAUAAAAGAAAGCUUUAUCCUUAACUCCCUCCCCUAUUUGGAAUUUCCUUAAUCUACAUUUUUACCUAUAGUUCCUUUUGUUUGAAUAGGAAACUAAAUCAAUUACAGAAUUUACCUAAUUUUUUUGGAGAGAAAAUAUGAGUAAAUUUCAAGAGCUAUAAUAACCCUGUGAUGUACAUUACCACAGGAAAAAGAUUCUUACUGGUGUUUUUUUUACCGUCCAUGUUCAUUGAACGUUCAUGAUACUGGUUUUGAAGUUGUAUUAUUAGUUGGUCACGUAUGUUUUUAUCCAACUUUGUUCUCGCCUUGUGGAGGAUUAUGGGCUAGUCGUUCAAAAUUUUGUUCUUUCCUUGCAAUUUGAAUGUGUAAUUUGUUGGAUUUGCCUCAUCUUUUGGUGCAAGCUUUAGUGCCUCGUGCUAUUAUGUGAAAUCAACCCUUUUCAAAAAAAGAA